rnacentral:lncRNA from 15 species
CUUAGCUCCACACACACACACACACGUCACAGUAUUGGGUCAGGAUUUCAUAGAUUGUGUACAAGAAAGUGGAUCUAUCAGUGUAUUAAACAAAUGACUAUUAAUUGCGUCUCAUGAAGUGAAAGGAAGUUUUAUCACUCUCAUACUGUGUAAUAUCCUUUACUGCCACCUGAAGGUUUCUGCAGACAGAAGAUUUCAACGAUUAAACCUUCUGCCCUCUGGCCACAGUCCUCAGCUGUCAGACAUUAAAGAAUGAGCAAAAACGUAUCAUGUUGAUGACUAUAUUUACAUAAUUUGCUGUCUAUCACAGUGUUACAGAUUUGUUCAAAUGUGUCAGGAUAAAUUAGGUAUGUACCUACACUAAGUGAUGUUGGAGAAUUAGUAGAAAGUAAAAAUAGUGUUUCUGUGAAAAUGAAACUCAAGAGACAAACGGAAGUAGUAGAGUUGCAAGCGAGUGGAGAUGAGGUAAAAGCUGUGCACACACAGCUAUGCAGUGGGUGAGCUGACACCCGGAGUAUAUAAAGCAUGUUGAGGUCUCAUCUCAGCUAUCCUUCCGUUUACCCAGCAGCGAUGGCAGCAGCAGCUUUGUCCAGAAGCAGAGGAGUGGCUGGUGUCACAGCCACCAGAGGCCUGCUCUUCAUCUUCUCCCUACUGUGUCUGGUUUGCCUCGCAAGUUCAUUCAUUGACAAGGACCAACUGGAAAAGCUAAAGGAAAAUGUCCAGAAAGCAGAACAACAACUGGAAAGUUUGAAGGAAAAGUACAAAUUAGAAAUGGCCUCCAGUUUAGAGCUCAUAAAUGAAUAUAUGGGCUACCUGGACCCAAUGAUAGCAUUAGUGAAGAAAGCUACUGGAACAUCACCUGAUGACUUUCCACCAGUGGAUGCACUUCUGCAGAGCGUCAAGGCCAACAUGGAGAAAACCAAGAGUUACGUGGAAGACCAAAAAGUGAAGUUAGGUGCAGAACUAGAGAACCUUGAAAAGGAUCUUGAAAAACAAAAGAAAUUGAUCAAAUUCCUUGAGGAGCAGCAGGGUGAAUUGUAACUUCCAUGUCAAUUAGUGCCUCUAUCUCUGAUAUUGCAUCUAUUGUACCUAAGUUACUACCUUAAAUUUCUCUUUGUUUGUGCAACCUCAUUUCAAAAUGAUUUUAGAGUCACUGUUGACAGGGAUGUGAAAUGUGUUGAUAUACCAACAACUUUUUUCAUACAUUACUACUGAUGUGCAGCCAUUACAAUUUAGGGAGUGGAAACAAUGGUUUUGACUAUAUUUUGACUAUGUUUUUGUUUUCUUUUGCUGCUUUAUUUUCACAAUUUCCUUCAAAACAUAAGCAUGAGCAGUUAAAUAACAAUAAUGAUUCAAAUAUUGUACAUGAAAUCAAGCAUAUGUGGAUAUCUAAUAAACUCAGUACCUUGGAAUUAUUGUCUGUCUGUUGUCUGUUCUUUCUUUACAAUCCUAAAAGAUGAGGCCCAGAGUUCUGAUAUAAAUAUUUUCUCUGUAGAGGUAAUGCCAGGCUGGUAAGUUAUCCUCUCUGUUGCUUAUAACAAAGACCAUUUUUACUCACACUGAAAGAAUUCAAGCAUAUUAUUGAGAGAGAGCAGCUCUUUGAAUUAGGAUCAAUGCUGACGUGUUUGUAGUAAUCAUACAAACAUUAUGUGAUGAUGGUUUGUGGGAUCAAA